UACGUAGGGUGCAAGCGUUAAUCGGAAUUACUGGGCGUAAAGCGUGCGCAGGCGGUUUUGUAAGUCUGACGUGAAAUCCCCGGGCUCAACCUGGGAAUUGCGUUGGAGACUGCAAGGCUAGAAUCUGGCAGAGGGGGGUAGAAUUCCACGUGUAGCAGUGAAACGCGUAGAGAUGUGGAGGAACACCGAUGGCGAAGGCAGCCCCCUGGGUCAAGAUUGACGCUCAUGCACGAAAGCGUGGGGAGCAAACAGG
rnacentral:rRNA from 1 species